rnacentral:rRNA from 1 species
GUCUAAGUAUAAGUAUUAUACAGCGAAACUGCGAAUGGCUCAUUAAAACAGUUAUAGUUUAUUCGAUUAUUUUCUUCUACAUGGAUAACCGUAGUAAUUCUAGAGCUAAUACAUGCUGUCAAACCUAACUUUUUGGAAGGGUUGUAUUUAUUAGAUAUAAAACCGACACUCCUCACGGAGUUUCGUGAUGAUUCAUAAUAACUGAACGGAUCGCGGCCUUGCCGCGACGAAUCGUUCAAGUUUCUGCCCUAUCAGCUUUCGAUGGUAGUGUAUUGGACUACCAUGGCGAUCACGGGUAACGGGGAAUUAGGGUUCGAUUCCGGAGAGGGAGCCUGAGAAAUGGCUACCACAUCUAAGGAAGGCAGCAGGCGCGUAAAUUACCCAAUCCUAAUUCAGGGAGGUAGUGACAAGAAAUAACAACUCGGACCUCACACGAGGUUACGAGAUUGCAAUGAGAACAAUUUAAACCUCUUAUCGAGUAACAAUUGGAGGGCAAGUCUGGUGCCAGCAGCCGCGGUAAUUCCAGCUCCAAUAGCGUAUAUUAAAGUUGUUGCAGUUAAAAAGCUCGUAGUUGAAUAUCUGGCCGGUGGUGUUCUUGGCUCCCUGAGUCGGUUCAUCGCCUGGUUAUCCGUAUGGGAAACCAGCUCGACCUUCACUGUGUCGGCUGGCGGAUCAUACACUUUACUUUGAAAAAAUUAGAGUGUUUCAGGCAGGCAAUUGCUUGGAUACUGUAGCAUGGAAUAAUGGAAUAGGACUUUGACCUAUUUGUUGGUUUCUCGAGGUCAAAGUAAUGAUUAAUAGGGACA